CCUACGAGCGGCAGCAGUGAGGAAUAUUGGUCAAUGGGCGGAAGCCUGAACCAGCCAAGUAGCGUGCAGGAUGACGGCCCUACGGGCUGUAAACUGCUUUUAUACGGGAAUAACGCGCCUUACGUGUAGGGCUUUGCAUGUACCGUAUGAAUAAGGACCGGCUAAUGCCGUGCCAGCAGCCGCGGGAAUACGGGAGGUCCGGGCGUUAUCCGGAUUUAUUGGGUUGAAAGGGAGCGUAGGCCGCAUGUCAAGCGUGCUGUGAAAGGUCCGGGCUCAACCCGGGCCUUGCAGCGCGAACUGGCGUGCUUGAGUCCGCGGAGGGCAGGCGGAAUUCGGGGUGUAGCGGUGAAAUGCUUAGAUAUGACGAAGAACCCCGAUUGCGAAGGCAGCUUGCUGCAGCGGAACUGACGCUGAUGCUCGAAAGCGCGGGUAUCGAACAGGAUUAGAUACCCCUGUAGUC
rnacentral:rRNA from 1 species